GCGAAAGUGGCGGAACUGGUAUACGCGCUGGAUUUAGGAUCCAGUGGGAGACCAUGGGGGUUCGACUCCCCCCUUUCGCACCA
rnacentral:tRNA from 2 species